CUGAAGGGAAAAACAGUAAAAAGCAAGUGCUGUGAGUCACAGGCUGAGGUACCAGCAGAGGCACCUCCUCAAAAACCAGAAGGAUGUCAACCACAUUGAGAGGUUAAGUCUGACAAAGUCUGCCCAGAAAUGCACUGGUUGAUCACAGUACAUCUGAGUACUCACUGUUUACCACCAGAACACAUAACCCUGUAUUUAUCUAACUUUUUGUUGUUGUCUGGGGGAGGAAGGGAUAAUAACACUUUAUCGUAACCCUGCAAAUAAGGACUGAGUUGCAGAGCAAGUUUAAGUGAUGGAGUCAUUUUCAGACAGAAAUUAAUCUCAGCUGAGUGUCUAAUCUACUAGGCCAGUUCUUUCUACCCCUUUCAGUGGAUGGUAUCUAAAAAGGUAAGACUGAUGCUGGUUUCUUAAGACUAAAAAGGUAUUGAGUAUAUGGUAAUUUGCCUUAGUUAUGUUUGCAUACAGUAAUGAUAAGAAUGGUGUCCUUUGAAAAUACGUGGGUGUUACCCCUUGAAAAUGCAUUUUUGUACCAAAUACCUCAUGUGUUUAAAAAGAUGCUGGAUGACAUUAUGUCAUGCUUUCACCGUGUAUUUAUUAAACUUCAAAACCACCAUUAGUGCUGUCGUAUCUCUAAUACGUUUUAUCGAGCAGAACAUGGAUCCCACACAAGUGGAAUGUACCUGUAUGAAUAGACCAGCAAGCUUUAUAAUGAAUCUAUAAUUCCAGUUGUGCUUCAGGAAAAAAACAAAUGUCAUCAAGACAAAUCUUAGAAUCCAGGCUACGGAAAAAGAACAGUAAAAUCGUACCUUGGUUGUCUUUAUUCCAUUGUCUUUUAGAGAAGUGAGCUGAUCCUGGAAGCUCUCUCUACACCUUCCUUUUUUCUGGCCACGUGUUUUAGAAGAAAAGGAGUGUCCUCUUGACAAAUGCUACUUCCACAGAAAAGUCUGCCUUCCCCUGAGUCUGAAAGCCCAAAUCUGCACAGACACUGAGCACAAUGAAACAAGCUCAGUAACCUCAGUAGCGAGCUAGUUCCCUUCACAGCCUUAAUCCAUCUGUAAUCGUUAUCCUUCCUUAAAUACUGACAAGUUCAGUUAGCAAUCAUCUCAUUAUGGGUUACCCUAUUGAAAUAGGCUAUUUAAACCUGUUAUGCUUUGGUACGCUAUGGUCUUAACGUAACUAAGCUGUCGGAAAAGUCAUCCAUCUCAAAUCCUAUUUUCAACAGUCUUCUCAAGCUGCUUCCCAGAUCACUGCAAAUAAUGCAAGAAAAAUAACAGCAAAGAGGCUUACCUUUUCACCUUUGCUUACAAGCCCCCCCACCUUCCUCAAGAGAUUCUACUGGUUCUAUAGCCAGCUGCAAACUUGAGAACCAGAUACUUGAAACACCAUGGAUUCACUCAGCUUCUUCCAAUACUGUCUGCAUUUAGAACGUGCAUGUCAGCCACAGAAACUCAGAAGUGAUGGGGGUUAACAAUUCAGUAAGCAUCUGCUUUUAUUUGGAAUUCUAUGCUACAAAAAUUCCUUAAGGCUUACGUGUUUGUGUCACUGAAACAGGUAACAAUGAACACUUAAAAUGCAGUACUUAAAGAUGAAGUUAGCUUAUCAGCUAUCCACAUGAACCACGUUCUCAAUUUUUUUUAAUCAAUCAAAUUCAGAGAACUGUAUCUGUAAAGUGCAGAUAUUGCAUUCAGCAUUACAACAGACAAGGCACUUAAGCUAUUAAGAGAUAAAAACAGCUUUAAAUUAUUUGAUUAAAAUAAAUGGAUAAGUAAUGCUCAUUUGCACUGUAGAUGGAUAUUUUUCCUUCACCAGAACAGUAAGCUCUGCAGGGCAGGAACGUUGGAAAAAAUAGUGAUCCCCUUCCACUAUUUACUAAUAACCACAAUGUGGCAACACAGCUUUUUUCUGCCCUGUUAAUCAUAGGGGGCAGCACUGGAUGUCCCUGCUCAGGUUCUUACCAGGACAAAAAUCCUAUUCAUUUGUGGGGUUUUACAAAGAAAACAAAAUCUGUACUCAGAAUAUAAGAAAGUGAUAACUGUGUAUCUUUUCUAUCUCUCAAGAGGCUCAAUUUUAGAUAAGUGCUACAUUUCAAAAAUAUAUUUAUAGGGAGAGAAUUUCACAGACAUAAACAUGGCCAAAACAGAAAUAGGAUUAUGUAGUAUGAGAGAACAGAUUAAGAUGGAAGAAAAGCCUUCUUCUAUAAUUGUGAGAGUGCUCUUAAUUUACUUGUUUCUGAUGUCAAGUGCUACUUCAUACACAGGUGCCUUUGGAAAUUACAUUUUGAAGGCCACAAUACUUAAAAAAAAUAGUAAUCAUGUGAGUCACCUUGAAUAAUACACAGUUGAACAUUUCAGAUGAAUUCUCAAGGAGUGGAUCCAAGCACUUCUCCACUUCUCUUUGCUCUGCUGUUCACGUGUACGUUGCACAAAGCAGUGCCCAGGAGCAGCACCAGAGUAACUUGUGAGUUCAGUCCUCCACCUUCAGCACUGUGAAUGCUUUUCAGCUUCUGGCUUCAGCACAGCAGCAUCAAUUUCUUCAUAAAUCGCUCUGAUAGAAGAGGAAAAGGGCAACUCUUAUGGCACAGUUUUGUUUUAUUUAGAUAAAAUGCACCAAUUAAAUCCUGCCUGGGAGUUUAUGUUGUUUACCUAAAAUACAGUAUCAGCUGCAGGAUGCUCAGCUUUCCACAUUAGCAAGGAGCCCAUCCUGUGAUGUUUGUCAUUGUAUGUUGACUGGGAUACCUCUGGAAAUGGUCACUUUUGAUUAAAUAAACAUGACUGCAAAAUGCAGAUGGCCUCCACACCAUUCUGUGCUGUAUUCACCUUUUCCUAUCACUUAACAGAUAGUUCUUGACAUAGCACUACUUCAUCACUUUUGCAGAAGCUGAUUACUGAGCACACUACAGGAGUUUAUUCCUUCAUCAGUUAAGCAAGGAAUAACAAAAAAAGCUCCAAUCCUAUGGGUCACUUAACUCUGCCUAAACAGAAUGCUCUGCUUCCUCACUCAGAAGAAAGCCAUCUCAGAAGCCUUUUUGCCUUUGGCACCUAAGAGAACUGUAAAUUACUUUAAAAGCUACUUACUCUGUAGGAGCCAAAGGAUCAAAUUCCAUUAUCUCGUAGUAAUGAGGUGACUGCAACUUGUUCUUCGAUGCAGCUGAAGGAAGUGAAGUGGUCUG